rnacentral:sRNA from 1 species
GCUGGGCGUGGUGGCGCACUCCUGUAAUCCCAGCAGUUUGGGAUUGAGACAGGAGGAUCACGGGUUCAAAGCCAGCCUCAGCAAAAGCGAGGUGCUAAGCAACUCAGUGAGAUCCUGUCUCUA